rnacentral:ncRNA from 1 species
UUACAAGACUUCAACAUUGUCCCCUUUGACUGAAAAGUUGAUUGAACAAUUUCGCUAUAUGCUGGAAACUCCUAAAGCCAUAUCAUACUAGUAAAUACUCUUUAUAGUGAAAAUUGAUAUGGAUGUACAAUGGACAAUCAGCAGGUAACCAAAUUAUUAUAUAUAAUAUAGUAAGAGUAGGUACCUCAGAGACUACACGCGAAACUUCCUAAUAUAGGAAGAUGAUAUAGUCCGGCCUCUAUUCGUAAUGAUAGAG